rnacentral:rRNA from 1 species
CCAUCUAAAGAUAAAUAUUGGCGAGAGACCGAUAGCGAACAAGUACAGUGAUGGAAAGAUGAAAAGAACUUUGAAAAGAGAGUGAAAAAGUGGGGGAAAUUGUUGAAAGGGAAGGGCAUUUGAUCAGACAUGGCGUUUGCUUCGGCUUUUGCUGGGCCAGCAUCAGUUUUAGGGGUUGGAUAAAUCCUCGGGAAUGUGGCUCUGCUUCUUGUAAGUUUAUAGCCCGUGGGAAUACAGCCAGCUGGGACUGA